UACGUAGGGGGCAAGCGUUGUCCGGAUUUACUGGGCGUAAAGGGCGCGUAGGCGGACAGUUUAGUCAGAGGUGAAAGCCCAGGGCUCAACCUUGGAAUUGCCUUUGAUACUGGCUGUCUUGAGUUCGGGAGAGGUGAGUGGAAUGCCGAGUGUAGAGGUGAAAUUCGUAGAUAUUCGGCGGAACACCAGUGGCGAAGGCGACUCACUGGCCCGAUACUGACGCUGAGGCGCGAAAGCGUGGGGAGCAAACAGG
rnacentral:rRNA from 1 species